rnacentral:lncRNA from 1 species
ACCAGCCCACUAGCAAAACAAAAGGCAAGGAAGGGGUUUCUUCGCUUUUCGACAGGAGAUGAUACAUAAGCGCUCUUGAUCUUCUAUCCAGCCGCUGCUCUUAGCCUUGUUAGAAUCCAAUGUUAGAAGGAAAAAGACGUUAUAGCGACCAUCCUGGGCCUUCCACGAUUGUUGACCUGUCUCGGACCGGGGAAGACGUUCUUCAAGACAGGACAUACGGUACAGAAAGGAUCAUCUAAGGAUCUUGUCUGGACGGAGAUGUGUCUUUCCUAAGCAAGACGGUAAAAAAACAAUAAAGACUUUUAAGAAUACAUAAGACCUUCUUAGGAAAGUCUCUAUCCUUCUCUUACAGUCAAUCAUUCCUAAAGUCAAGACAUUGAAGACAGUAAAGGGGAAUCUGAGACAUACGUUACAGAAGCGUAUCAUCAAAUUUGACUACGAAGAAAGGAACUCGAAGUGAAAGGGCACCCUCACUUCAUACCUGCAACAGAGUCAAAGCUGCGAUAAUACUGACUCUCCUAGUCAAUAGGGCUAUUAUAUAUAUAUAUAUAUAUAUAUAAAAGUCUCAUUCCGAAAACUAUUGGUUGCGCUAUAAAUAAAGGGAUGAGGCUGCCCAAAGUUUUAAAAAAUGUUUCAUUUUUCCAUUCUAGAUGAUUUGGCAUUCAGACAACCCCCACCCAAACAAAGUGAUGGCAAAUCAAGCGAGCAAACGCACAGUGCUAAGAAUUGCGAGUCAUAAACUCUACCUUUCACACUCGAGAUGAUCAAUCCUCCUGCCGUUCAUCA